CUCUGUAAUGGCGUCUGUUGUAUGGCACCCUCAGGUUGUCCGGGACCCCGAUUUUGUUCUCCAAGAUACGAAACUGGAGGCUUUGGAAUCCAGAGGCUGGAGUUAGGUAUUCCCUGCGGACACAAAAAAACACACAAAUAAGCCAACAACACAGACAGAGUGUAUCAUGAAGUAGUUCAUCUUAUAAAUGUUUAAGAGCUUAAGUAAAAAAGGCACAAAAGUUAUUUAUAAGCUUACCUAAAGUCAAAAAAGUCCAAAGCUGUCAUUGUUUCCAAAACUGAAAACUGGUCGACCAAGAGUCUGAAGAUCAUCACAAUCCUGUGGAUGCGAGUGUUGACUUUGAGCAUGUUGCGUUCAUCUCUGACCUGGAGCAUUGGUCAAACAUGGAAGGGAACACUGGAAUAAGUAAUGGUGGUAAACAUUGUAAACACAUAUCAUGACACAGGGGGAAACAAAUGAUCACUAAGAUUAGCCUCCUCCAGAGAACAACAGUCAAAAACAAUUGCUUUAAUUUUAAUUUAGGACAUCAGCCUGGGUGAUGCACAACAAUCCUUUUUUUCCCUGACUUAAACCAAACCAGAUUGACUGAAUAGAACAGAUGAUUCCUAUUUAAUGUGACAUCAGAGGAGAUCUGACUGACAUAGUUCUCUCCCCUGACAGUUUGAUCGUUCUACUUCAUGAUUUCACAUUAUGAGCAAGCACUUUUGAGCAAUCUUCAGCACUGACAGCUACAAUCUGAAAGAUCUGAAUUAACAUGUGCUUCUCUACUUCAGAACCAGCUAACAUUUAACUCACAACCUACAAAAACUGAUUCAUCCUAAUUUACCUCUAUUUCUAUCAACAAGAACCCAACCACAUUACAUUUGUCAAAUUCUUUCCGGAAAAAAUGUGCCUUACGUGUCCACUGAUGAAUAUGUGUCGCACUGAAUCCAGCUCGAACAAAAUCUGUUUGAACCACAGUUCAUAGGCUGGAAUAAAAUAUGAAAGUGUUAAGCAUUAUACACAUUUUAAAAUAAAAUCACAAGUAAGAGGUCAGGGACAAUUACAAUACAAAAAUAAGUAAACCCUUAAUUCAACCUCAUACAGACAUGGAGCAAAAAUAUGCUUCUUGAAAUACAUUUCCAAUAUAUUAAAUAGAACAAUUUCUCAAAUUGAAAACACUAAGUUAUAAGAUUAGAAUAUUUUCCUCUUUAUUUUUACACUAUUAAAACAGUCCAGAAUAGACAUUUAAAACCACAUUGUAAAUACGUGCAAUAAUCCUAACCAAAAAGACUAAAUACAAGAUCAGAGCAACUACUUUCUUUGGUAGUUUCUUCCCGUUUUACCUUGAUGGGUGACAAUGAAGAGGUGCUCAUCAUGGAUCUUAUUACCCUUCAACUCACUCUGUAACACCUGGGCCGAGACUAUUUUGUCGAGCUGAGAGUGGAAAAAAAACAUAAAUCACUUAACUUAAAAGCAAAUCAAAUGUGAAAACAAAUCCAAUUCCACUACUUAUCUUUUAAAAGGCAAACACAAAGACAGCAGCAUAUAAUAGGUGAUGUUUUCUACCUGCAGGUAUUCUCCGUAGAUGAUUCCUCCUUUGCUGGCCUUGUUAACCCCAGCCUGAGAGGCAUCCUCUUCUUCCUCCGUUGUUGGAGGCUUGUUUUUGAAUAACCUGCAGUGCGAAGAGAAAAGCGUUUGUUACUUGUUUUCCCCAUCUGCAGGAUUAGUAAAGAACUGUUGAAUUUGAUUUAAAUUGAACCAAAUCUGAUGUGAUAAGAAAUCCUUAAGAGCCCUAUUUGAGUUGAGAUUGAAACGUACAAAUGCCUCUUCUCAAAGUACGGACAUCCACUCAUGACUUGUCCAAAUCAGUUGCUGCAAAGACGUUUUCUUCUUCCUUGAAUAAUAGUUUCUAAAAUUGUUGUCAAUGCAGUCCAGCUUUAUAUAUAAAGCCUCAGCUCAUCCAAUCACUCAUGAGGAUAGAAUCAUCAUCCGGCCCGCCUCUGUUUGCCCCGUGUAGCUGCUGUUUACCUUGAACCAGAAACACCUUCUGGACUUUGUGUACUUGUUAAAAAAAGAACAGUCACAGGACUCUUUUCAAACAAUAAACUGAAAAAAAGCAGAUACAAAUAUUCCCAGCAUAAGAAGAUUUUACAUGUGGAGGUUUUGCUCAAAACCUUUAAUACUGGAAUAAUUGAUGUAUUCCGGGAGCUUCUAUGUGGAUGUUGAUGUCUCAGUCACAAGGUCCCUACGAGAGAAGGUCCACACGUUGUCAGCUGAAGGACACUUGGUCAUGAGACAUUACUGCUGAUGAUUGUGGCGAGGAUCAAGCUUGUGACGUCUCAGCUGGAGAGCCGCACUGAUGGGAAUUUGGCUUUGGACUAUCCGGUGCCCCUGGCAGAAGAGAAGGACCCC